rnacentral:rRNA from 1 species
GAUGAACGCUGGCGGCGUGCUUAACACAUGCAAGUCGAACGAAGCACUUUAUUUGAUUUCCUUCGGGACUGAUUAUUUUGUGACUGAGUGGCGGACGGGUGAGUAACGCGUGGGUAACCUGCCUUGUACAGGGGGAUAACAGUUGGAAACGGCUGCUAAUACCGCAUAAGCGCACAGCAUCGCAUGAUGCAGUGUGAAAAACUCCGGUGGUAUAAGAUGGACCCGCGUUGGAUUAGCUAGUUGGUGAGGUAACGGCCCACCAAGGCGACGAUCCAUAGCCGACCUGAGAGGGUGACCGGCCACAUUGGGACUGAGACACGGCCCAAACUCCUACGGGAGGCAGCAGUGGGGAAUAUUGCACAAUGGGCGAAAGCCUGAUGCAGCGACGCCGCGUGAGCGAAGAAGUAUUUCGGUAUGUAAAGCUCUAUCAGCAGGGAAGAUAAGGACGGUACCUGACUAAGAAGCACCGGCUAAAUACGU